rnacentral:tRNA from 1 species
AGUUCAGUAGCUUAAGUUGAGCGUCGGAUUUUUAAUCUGAAAGGUGUAAUUAGGUUUACCUGGGCUA